GUAGGUGAACCUGCGGAAGGAUCAUUACCACUAUAAGUCUGGGGGAAACUUCGGUUUCCCCUGUCUGAACCCUUGUCUUUUGCGUACUAUUUGUUUCCUUGGUGGGCUUGCCUGCCGAUAGGACAACCAUUAAACCUUUUGUAAUUGCAAUCAGCGUCAGAAAAAAAUUAAUAAUUACAACUUUCAACAACGGAUCUCUUGGUUCUG
rnacentral:misc_RNA from 1 species